UGAUGUCGCCUUUGGAUGGUUCCAACUCCUCUCAGCUUGUUGGUGAGGUAUUUGCUCACCAAGGCUUCGACGGGUCGGGGGACUGAGAGGUUGGCCCCCCACACCGGGACUGAGACACUGCCCGGACACCUACGGGUGGCUGCAGUCGAGAAUCUUCGGCAAUGCGCAACCGCGUGACCGAGCGACGCCGCGUGCGGGCUGAAGGGUUUCGGCUCGUACACCGCUGUUGGGGGGUCGCCCUCAUCACGGUAACCCCGUGUGAUGCGUCAAACCCCUGAGGAAGUCACAGCUAAUCACGUGCCAGCAGCUGCGGUAAUACGUGCGUGGCAAACGUUACUCGGAAUCACUGGGCUUACAGGGGGCGCAGGCGGGCAGGACCGUGGCGAUUGCAAUCCCACGGCUCAACCGUGGCAUUGGUUUCCAAACUAUCUGUCUUGCGGACAGCAGGGGGGUGUCGAACUUCUGGUGGAGCGGUGCACUGCGUAGCUCUCCGACGGCAUACCGGUGGCGAAAGCGAUGCCCUGGGCUGUUCCUGACGCUGAGGCCCGAAAGCAUGGGGAGCCACCAGGCUUCGCAUACCUGGUAGUCCAUGCUGUCACUGCUGGGUACUAGCAGGAGUGGUUCCUUCGGACUCUCUUGCCUCGCGAACUCGUUACGUACCCCGACUGGGGACAUCCGGCGCAAGAUUAAAACUCAAAGGAAUUGACGGGGGCUCACACAAGCGGUGGAGCAUGUGGUUUAAUUCGAAGCAACGCGAAGAACCUUACCCGGCCUUGACAUCGCCGAAUGCUGCUUCUGAAAGGGAGUAUGCUGCCUUUGGUGAAACGGUGACAGGUGUUGCAUGGCUGUCGUCAGCUCGUGUCGUGAGAUGUCGGGUUAAGUCCCUUAACGAGCGAAACCCCUGCCGUUAGUUGCUAACGGGCCUUCGGGCGCCGAGUACUCUAGCGGGACUGCCUCGUAAGACGGAGGACGCUGGGCACGACGUCAAGUCAUCAUGGCCCUUAUGGCCGGGGCUACACACGUGCUACAAUGGACGGUACAAAGCGAAGCGAACCCGCGAGGGGGUGCAAAUCGCAAAAAGCCGUCCUCAGUUCAGAUUGCAGGCUGCAAUUCGCCUGCAUGAAGGCGGAAUCGCUAGUAAUCGCGGAUCAGC
rnacentral:rRNA from 1 species